rnacentral:rRNA from 1 species
CUACGGGAUGCAGCAGUGGGGAAUAUUGGACAAUGGGGGAAACCCUGAUCCAGCAAUGCCGCGUGUGUGAAGAAGGCCUGCGGGUUGUAAGGCACUUUCGGUUGGGAGGACUGCUUCUAGCACUAAUAUUGUUGGAAGUUGACGUUACCUUCAGAAGAAGCACCGGCUAACUCCGUGCCAGCAGCCGUCGGUAAUACGGAGGGUGCAAGCGUUAAUCGGAAUUACUGGGCGUAAAGCGCGCGUAGGCGGCUAGAUCAGUCGGGUGUGAAAGCCCCGGGCUUAACCUGGGAACUGCAUCCGAUACUGUCUAGCUUGAGUACAGGAGAGGAGAGUGGAAUUCCACAUGUAGCGGUGAAAUGCGUAGAUAUGUGGAGGAACACCAAUGGCGAAGGCAGCUCUCUGGCCUGAUACUGACGCUGAGGUGCGAAAGCGUGGGGAGCAAACAGGAUUAGAUACCCCAGUAGUC